CGGGCAUCUUCGGAUGUCAGUGGCAGACGGGUGAGUAACACGUGGGAACGUACCCUUCGGUUCGGAAUAACUCAGGGAAACUUGAGCUAAUACCGGAUACGCCCUUUUGGGGAAAGGUUUACUGCCGAAGGAUCGGCCCGCGUCUGAUUAGCUAGUUGGUGGGGUAACGGCCUACCAAGGCGACGAUCAGUAGCUGGUCUGAGAGGAUGAUCAGCCACACUGGGACUGAGACACGGCCCAGACUCCUACGGGAGGCAGCAGUGGGGAAUAUUGGACAAUGGGCGCAAGCCUGAUCCAGCCAUGCCGCGUGUGUGAUGAAGGCCUUAGGGUUGUAAAGCACUUUUGUCCGGGACGAUAAUGACGGUACCGGAAGAAUAAGCCCCGGCUAACUUCGUGCCAGCAGCCGCGGUAAUACGAAGGGGGCUAGCGUUGCUCGGAAUCACUGGGCGUAAAGGGCGCGUAGGCGGCCGUUUAAGUCGGGGGUGAAAGCCUGUGGCUCAACCACAGAAUUGCCUUCGAUACUGGACGGCUUGAGUAUGGUAGAGGUUGGUGGAACUGCGAGUGUAGAGGUGAAAUUCGUAGAU
rnacentral:rRNA from 1 species